rnacentral:rRNA from 1 species
AGUGAACGCUGGCGGUAGGCCUAACACAUGCAAGUCGAACGGCAGCACAGUAAGAGCUUGCUCUUACGGGUGGCGAGUGGCGGACGGGUGAGGAAUACAUCGGAAUCUACUUUUUCGUGGGGGAUAACGUAGGGAAACUUACGCUAAUACCGCAUACGACCUACGGGUGAAAGCAGGGGAUCUUCGGACCUUGCGCGAUUGAAUGAGCCGAUGUCGGAUUAGCUAGUUGGCGGGGUAAAGGCCCACCAAGGCGACGAUCCGUAGCUGGUCUGAGAGAUGAUCAGCCACACUGGAACUGAGACACGGUCCAGACUCCUACGGGAGGCAGCAGUGGGGAAUAUUGGACAAUGGGCGCAAGCCUGAUCCAGCCAUACCGCGUGGGUGAAGAAGGCCUUCGGGUUGUAAAGCCCUUUUGUUGGGAAAGAAAAGCAGCAGGUUAAUACCCCGCUGUUCUGACGGUACCCAAAGAAUAAGCACCGGCUAACUUCGUG